rnacentral:rRNA from 1 species
CAUUUAGAGGAAGUACAAGUCGUAACAAGGUUUCCGUAGGUGAACCUGCGGAAGGAUCAUAGUAAUCGUCUUUGACGUUCUAUUCCGUCCGUCCUCGGGACGUUAAGGUGCUCUGGUCGAGGAUAAAGGACCCCUCUGACCGAGGUUAAGCGGUCGCUUUCCGUGUUACCUCUCCGGAGGCACACGUUAAAGAUCGUUCCGCGUUGUGAGUCUAACACCAGUUGUAACUUUUUACAACCGGCAGCGCUGGAUCCCUUGGCACGUCAUUCGAUGAAGACCGUUGCAAAUUGCGAUAAAGUGAUGUGAUGCGCAAGUCCACCACUUAUACGUGAAUCAUCGAGUUGUUGAACGCACUGCACCGCGCCCUAAACCGGCUGCGGUAUGCCCCUUUGAGCGUCAUUGCAUUCCUUCGGGAGUCUUUUCCUUGCAAAAGACCCGAGUUCGGAGUCCUCGGUCUUCGGAUCGUGUUCUCUUAGAUGCGUCGCGCCGAUCGCCUGAUGGGUACUCUAAUGCCUGAGCGUGGAGUCCCUCUGGGUUGAGACGCGCUUGACCGGCCGUUGGGCUCGCGUCGCCAAGUCCGCGUCCUCCGGGACGUCGGUACUACAACACAUGACCUCAUCGGGGUAGGACAACCCGCUAGACUUAAGCAUAUUAAUCAGCGGAGGAAAAGAAACUAACAAGGAUUCCCCUAGUAAC